rnacentral:rRNA from 1 species
GAGAACGCUGGCUACCGGCUUAACACGUGCAAGUCGAGGGGCAGCAUGUCGGUUGCUUGCAACCGAUGAUGGCGACCGGCGCACGGGUGAGUAACGCGUAUCCAACCUGCCUCUUACCAGGGAAUAACCCGUCGAAAGGCGGACUAAUGCCCUAUGCCCUCCGCGGCAGACAUCUAAUGCGGAGGAAAGAUUCAUCGGUAAGUGAUGGGGAUGCGUCUGAUUAGCUUGUUGGCGGGGUAACGGCCCACCAAGGCAACGAUCAGUAGGGGUUCUGAGAGGAAGGUCCCCCACAUUGGAACUGAGACACGGUCCAAACUCCUACGGGAGGCAGCAGUGAGGAAUAUUGGUCAAUGGGCGGAAGCCUGAACCAGCCAAGUAGCGUGCAGGAAGACGGCCCUAUGGGUUGUAAACUGCUUUUAUGCGGGGGUAAAGUGAGUGACGUGUCAUUCAUUGCAAGUACCGCAAGAAUAAGGACCGGCUAAUUCCGUGCCAGCAGCCGCGGUAAUACGGAAGGUCCUGGUGUUAUCCGGAUUUAUUGGGUUUAAAGGGAGCGUAGGCCGUCAGGCAAGCGUGUUGUGAAAUGUCGUGGCUCAACCAUGGACCUGCAGCGCGAACUGCCCGACUUGAGUGCGCGGAAAGCAGGCGGAAUUUGUGGUGUAGCGGUGAAAUGCUUAGAUAUCACGAAGAACCCCGAUUGCGAAGGCAGCCUGCUGUAGCGCUACUGACGCUGAAGCUCGAAAGUGCGGGUAUCGAACAGGAUUAGAUACCCUGGUAGUCCGCACGGUAAACGAUGGAUGCCCGCUGUUCGGUUUACGGACCGAGCGGCUAAGUGAAAACGUUAAGCAUCCCACCUGGGGAGUACGCCGGCAACGGUAG